rnacentral:tRNA from 1 species
CGCUAAGAAGCUAUAAGGGACAGCGUCGGCCUUUUAAGCCGAAGAUAGGUGACUCCACCCACCCUUAGCGA